AACAACACACACGUCGGGAGGCUGGGAGCACAGCAGGAACACACACACACACACACACGUCGGGAGGCUGGGAGCACAGCCGUAACAACACACACACACGUCA